GACGAACGCUGGCGGCGUGCUUCAUACAUGCAAGUCGAACGAGAAGCUGACUUCGGUCAGUGGAAAGUGGCGGACGGGUGAGUAAUAUGUAGGAAAUCUGCCUUUAGGAGGGGGACAACAGAGGGAAACUUCUGCUAAUACCCCAUAUGAGCGUAGCUGACAUGCUAUUCUUGCAAACUCCGGUGCCUAAAGAUGGGCCUGCAUCUGAUUAGCUAGUUGGUAGUGUAAUGGACUACCAAGGCGACGAUCAGUAGCUGGUUUGAGGGGAUGAUCAGCCACAAUGGGACGGAGACACGGCCCAGACUCCUACGGGAGGCAGCAGUAGGGAAAUUUGCGCAAUGGGCGAAAGCCUGACGCAGCAACGCCGCGUGAACGAUUAAGCCCUUCGGGGUGAAAAGUUCUGUCAGUGGGGACGAAACUUGACGGUACCCACAGAGGAAGCACCGGCUAACUCCGUG
rnacentral:rRNA from 1 species